UCCUUGUCCAUGCACGUGAGCCUCCUGCCAUCUUUGCUUGCCUUCCUGCACAUGGGGAUGGACCAUUCUUGAGCUUGUAGGAGAUGAACCUUGAAAAUCAACCAGCUGUCCUGGACCACCUCCCACAUCAAUCUUUCUGUAUCAUUGAGGACAGUGGGAGGCCAAACAUGCCUGGCUAAAAAUUACUUUUGUUGCAGCUGCCCUGACAUAGACUGCAACCUCAACACUCACACGUAUCAUUUAUUAAACAAACCAAUAUCCCUGAUGAACGCUGAAGUCUUUCUAUAUACCACUAUCCUUACUUCCAGUGAUUUCAGACAUGCAGCCUCCCCUUCUUUUCCAACAAAUAAACAUAUUAAAAUAACUUGUUAUCUUUUACAUAAAAUAUUCCAGGAAGACUUUUUCCACCUAGCACAUUUUAAUAAGACAAGAACUAUUUUUAAACUACUGAAGAACCAUUCGCUAAACAGAUUAGCAGACCCCUGAAGACACUACAAGAAAAGCCUCCAGUCUUCACUCAACAGCAACCAAGCUUUUCACUAAGGCAGACUGUAUGAAUUUAUUUUAGUAACAAAUAUGCUGUGGCCCCUCUACUACCUUAUUAGUACAUCUGUUAUGCACGCAUAAUUUGAUACAAGUAAAGCAGUCUUCACAAGUAAACUGGGAUGCACUUGUGGGGUAAAUUCAAGUCUUAUUAACAUAUGGCCCAGGACUGUUCUGUCUGAGCAACCUGAUCACUCAGCCUGGAAAUAAGUACCCUCUUUUAAGGAUUUACCUGCAAAAGGGUGGCAUCAGAAGAAUCUGGUAAAUGUGGCUGGCAUACAACUAAUCAACAAACGGGCCACAGGAUAGGCAGGAAAUACAGCGCCUGGGCACAACUGGACAUCUCUAAGAUUAAUUCAUCCACCCACAAUCCACUCCCAAGAGAAAGGUGUGCCCAGGACCGGACCUCGGAUAGAAAAAUUCUAACUGCACAUGCAGCUAGUGACCAGAUCAGUUGUACAACGCAGGUAGAAAAGUAAACUCUUUGUGGCAAGCAUAUCUUUUUGUUGCGCAUACAGUGCACAUGCACAAACAAGGAUGGCCUAUGCCCAGGAGCUAUUAGGUGCUCCUAUAACAAGACAGUAACUUUGCAUGUCCAAGCAUCAUCAUUAAUUCAGACAACUGCAACAGAUUUCUUUCAGAACAGAAUUCCCCAAGACACACAUCAAUCUCUGGAGCUAGAGGUACCUUUGCUAAAUGCAGAAUUUCCUCUCGUCCCUCAGAGUUUUUUGAUGCAGUGCAAGCAUACCUCAAAGGGACCACUGACUUACCACAGAGCACAGAGAAAAUAAAUAUUGAGAGAAGAAACUGAUUAGCUGGUAGAAGUUUGAACUGCGUAGGCACCACAGUAACCAAAAAGGCUAGAAUGAUUAACUGCAUGAUUUCGUGCAAACAAAGCUUUCUAAAGCAGAAAAAAAUCAGCAAGACACUGUCUUAAACGCACCCCAUAAUUUUGUUUUUGUUAUUUCAUUAUUUGAUGCAUUGCAUACUUUGAAGUUUGCUAACACACACAGCU
rnacentral:lncRNA from 1 species